rnacentral:lncRNA from 1 species
GGAUGGGGGUCCAGGCAGCCCCAACCCACCCUCCCGCUUUGGAUCCCCGGGGAUCACCGGACGGACGUUUUCCCGCUCCCCGCCCCGGCCCGGGGAACUGCUUUGGGCGCUCCAGGGCCGGCGAUCCGCGGAAGGCGUCCGGCCUAUCACCCUCGACUCCGACUUUGCAGCUCCCCGCCUGCGCCGUGCUCAUUGCCGGCGCUCCUGAGACGGUUUCCCGAAACUGCCCCCCGAAGGCUCCCCGCCGCGGCCCCGGGGUCCCCCGCAGGAUUCCAGGAGGCGCCGCCGCCGCCGCCACCCGGCGGGCGCAGUGACCCGCUCCCAGGCCCCGGGGCCUCUGCCCCUCCUCCCGGGGAUCCCCUUUCGCCAACAGCCUCCCGGGCCCCGCAGGACACUCCCCUCCGGAGGCCGGGCCUCGUCGGCCCGCCACCGCCCCCGCCUAGCCCCCGGCCGCCCCGCCCGCGCGCCGCGCCGGGAGAGCCCCGGGCCCCGACCCCUCCCCCCGGACGCCCGGCCGGAGAGCGGGACCCGGGCGGCGAGGGUGACUGGGCUGCGGCGCGGGGCCGGGUCCUGGGCAGGGAGGCUCGGCGGCCUCUUUCUUUCUCCGCCCCCGCCCCUUUCUCUCCUUCCUCCUCGCUAGCCCCGCCGGCGGCGGCGGAGUUCGGCACUCUCGCCUCGCCUCCUCCCCCACCCGGGGACCCUCUCCUCUCCCCUCCCCUCCCUCGCCCGCUCCUCCCGCCGCCUCCUCCCUCCCGGAGCGGCUGGCUGCGAGGAGGCGUAACGGAAAGCCCCGGCGGGGGAAGGCUGCGAGCUCGGGGCCGGAGACACAGAGCCGGGCCGGGUAAACUGGGAAGCAGACUCUUGAAUUCACAGCUGGCUUGUGGUUUUUGCAUCUCGUUAAAGCGCACUCAUCAUACAGAAUAGCAAAAUAUAAACCUGUGUGAGAAGAUAUACCACAACUUUGGGUGUGGAUUGGUACAGGAGACAAGACUGUAAUUGACUCAGUGAGGCUGCCAUCUUGCCACACCCUAUACUCAGGCUACAGCCUGAGUCAGUGCCAAGGACUUCUGGGAGGGGACACAGAAUGAAGUGCUUGCUCAUCCAUCCAACUAAAUGCUGGGAUUCCAGGCUGGAGUUGGUACUGUGUGGCAAUUAACAUUGUUUUCCAGCAAACAGUGGGAUUCCCCAGUGUCUAAUCAUGCUGGUGCUGAGUUGUAUGGAAAUGACUCUUUCAGGACACUAAGGUACCAUUUAAUGAACUGUUCCUUUAGUGUCAUUUAAUAACUCACAAUCUUAGUGUGUAUUAAGUGGUAGUUAAUUACUGACUCUUUGAGCCACUGGGGAACCAUUUUGUAAUUACUACUUCAUUGCCAUUUAAUACAUUUCUGUCUUGUACAUUAAAUAGCUCUGAGCAGUAAUUCACAGCCUGGUCCCUGGUGGCCUCUUCCAGAGAUGCUCAUCUGAAACCAGAUGGUUGCUUAGGCAUAGGGAGAGUAAAGGUGCCAUAAAAGUUUUUUAAAUCCGUGGUCGCCAGACUUUUGGAUUUAAUGGACCACACUUUGUUUUUGUUUUUGUUUGUCUUUAAUGUUUAGGGCCAUACAUAAGGUUGUUAAAUUUUUUGUUUUAUGGAGUUUUGUUCCCCCUAAGAAGCCUGACUCGGGAGCACAUUGUCUAGGGCAGGGUAUAGUAGGCAUUCGGUAAAUAUUGGUGAAGUUAAAUUAAGUUAUGCAUUUUAGACCAGAAUUUUUGUUGGUGACACCUGCUUAAUUUUGUUAUUAUUUUAUCAGAGCUCAUAAUGGAGAUGUUAAUUUUUUAAAUGUGUUAUCACAUGUGACUGCCUAAAGAGAUUUCAUUGUUUAUGGGGAUUUUGAGGGCUAAAUAGUAAAUGUGAAAACUUUGGAAGGACCUCAAACCAGAUUGUGAAUGUAAGGUAAGUAAUAUUGCCUGCUGACAGUAGUAUGCAGAAAUGAUGAAUAUUUCCAUUAUAUUAAACUCUGGGGAAUUCUAAGAUGUGGAACUGAUUAAUACAAAAGCAGCUCUUGCACAGAUUGUCGUGUCUUGAUUCCUGAGGUAAAUUUGUGACAGAUCAAAGGAGAAAGUGGGUUCGUAAGGAUGAUUUAGUUAAAAUUGAUACCUUAAAACAGAAUCAUAAAGGCACUGCCUUUUCUGUGAUUUUUGCUUAUUGUAGGAGCUAGGUGUAUUGUAAGGUGACGUGUCUGAAUUCUAUCCAAUAUCGGUAGCGUCACGACCAUGGUGGUGGUAAUGAUGAUAUAAAAGAUCCUAAAAAUCCUGGUGAGUAUUUUGAAGGAUGAUAGAAGGAAGGAUUGACAGCCUGUGGCAUGGAGAAGUGGCCCAUGAAACAAGUUACUGGAAUGGCUGACGACCCUGUGGUGCCAUCUAUUUCCUGGAAAGACACAUGUCCUCUUCUUCAGCGGCUGGGCAAUGUAUCAGUGCUUUUUUCCUCUGAAUGCCUGCCAGAUUUGGAAGUUGCAUUGCUUGUCUGGUUGUCUUGUAGAAUGUCUGAUUUUGUCAGCUAAUCAACAGUUAAUUGAAACACUUUUCAUUAAACUCCUCUUCCUAAUAAUGUUUAAACCAUAAUUUAAGCCUUAGCCAAGUCAUGGCUUUUGUUACCUGGCUUCAGAGCCCAUUAAUAUACACAAAGUUUACAGGGGGCUGGAUAACCUUUUCUUACCGGAAGUAAUGGAAACCUCCUGUCAUAUUUUCUGAUAGAACACAUUUUAAAAGAUGAAUUUUCAGACACCAUUAUUUUGUAGAUGUUCAUUCAGCAAAUUACCCAAGUACAAAACUGUUGUAAACACAUUGCUCAGACAUAAAGUUAGGUACAUUCUAUCAGAAAAUUCACUGCAUCUGUAAUCCUAGGCUUAGUGCUAUGGUUUAAGUAAGAAGGGAUUUAGAGAGUUCAUAAAUGCAAAGACUAGCAUAAACAAAAAGGAUUAAAGGAACUGUUUCCUGAGCAGCACUAAUAUAGAACCUCAUACCUCCUUUCUCUCCAGGGAUACUGUUGACUUUAUUUUAAAGCCAGUUUUCAAGAAGCUAUAGGGCAGACAGGUAUUUUAAUAACACAAAUUAAGAAAUUAGGGAUGUCUGGCUGGCUCAUUGGAUGGAGCGUGCAACUCUUAAUCUCUUGGACUCAAGCCCCACCUUGGGCGUAGAGAUUACUUAAAAAUAAAAAUCUUAAAAAAAAUUAAUUUCUCUGAUCA